UACGGGGGGGGCAAGCGUUGUUCGGAAUUACUGGGCGUAAAGGGCGCGUAGGCGGCCUGCUAAGUCGGACGUGAAAUCCCUCGGCUCAACCGGGGAACUGCGUCCGAUACUGGCGAGGCUUGAAUCCGGGAGAGGGAUGUGGAAUUCCUGGUGUAGCGGUGGAAUGCGCAGAUAUCAGGAGGAACACCGGUGGCGAAGGCGGGUCUCUGGGCAGUAACUGACGCUGAGGAGCGAAAGCGUGGGGAGCGAACAGG
rnacentral:rRNA from 1 species